rnacentral:miRNA from 1 species
GAAAUCGUUGUCAUGACUGAGC